rnacentral:lncRNA from 1 species
AUGUCAGUACACAUUAAAUACAUUCAUGAGCAACACCCUCCGGUAGACACAGACGACACACCCUCACACACGCUCACAGUCAUAACAAAUAUGUGUGUAAUGGAAAGGCACAUGCUUGUUUUACACACACACCAUCACCAAACAGGAACACACAAAGAGGUACCAUCAUAUAUACACGGGCACUCAUUCAUUCUCCAGUGCACAGAGGCACAGGUGGAUCAGACAGACCUGUUUGUCACAAUCACAUUCAGACACAGAUUCAUAUUUACAAUCCUCCCCUCCCCCACAGUGGUCUUCGGUCCGUGGGAAGGCUGCACCACGACCCUCUCCCCGCCCCCCAGGAGUGUGAUACAUCUCACACAUGUCGCCUGGCCCAGGGGAGACCAUAAAGGGACACUAGGGAGGGGCAGAGACGGGUCGGGAGCAGCGAGGCUACCGGCAGAUUGCUGGAGCUCAACAGGGACCCCGCACGCCCUGCAGCCCCUCCCCAGAGCCACCUCAGUACUCACCGAGACCCUUCUGGAGCUGGGAGGGAGGAGAGGCCGAGGGGAGGCUGGCCCAGCUCGGCAGUGCAGGUGCAGGCGGCGCAGCUCGCGCUGCUCCAGGCCCGCCUGCCUCCGGGUCCCUCCUCCAACACCCCCACCCCGCGCCGCUCCUGCAACGCUAAUCUCCCACCUCCCGCAGUUCUAGGGCCCUGAGCCCUGGAGGCUGCCAACCUCCCACCUCGCUAAAUCCGCACUGGGCUCUCCCGCCAACCUCGGACCCACCCCGGACCGGGGGGAGGGCGAGAGCCCCAUCCGCUCCAGACCCUCACAUGCCCUGCACUCGUGUCCAAGCCCCUCUCGCCCACUGCCUCUUGAGCUACAUUCAGGGCCCGCUGCACACGCGUGUCCCGCUCCAGACCCCGCGCGUGUCCCCAGAAGGCUGCCACAUGACCUGUUACAUGCCACACACGCUCCCGCCCCCACGAGCACGCGGCCGCGCAAGGCGCACAGUUCGGGUGUAGACCGGGCCCGCCCCCUAGGUCCAGAGACCAGCUAAG